rnacentral:rRNA from 1 species
AACGAACGCUGGCGGCAGGCCUAACACAUGCAAGUCGAGCGCGCCUUCGGGUGAGCGGCGGACGGGUUAGUAACGCGUGGGAAUAUGCCCUUCACUACGGAAUAGCCCUGGGAAACUGGGAGUAAUACCGUAUACGCCCUUCGGGGGAAAGAUUUAUCGGUGAAGGAUUAGCCCGCGUUGGAUUAGGUAGUUGGUGGGGUAAUGGCCUACCAAGCCGACGAUCCAUAGCUGGUUUGAGAGGAUGAUCAGCAACACUGGGACUGAGACACGGCCCAGACUCCUACGGGAGGCAGCAGUGGGGAAUCUUAGACAAUGGGGGAAACCCUGAUCUAGCCAUGCCGCGUGAGCGAUGAAGGCCUUAGGGUUGUAAAGCUCUUUCGCCAGGGAUGAUAAUGACAGUACCUGGUAAAGAAGUCCCGGCUAACUCCG